AAAUUGAAGAGUUUGAUCAUGGCUCAGAUUGAACGCUGGCGGCAGGCCUAACACAUGCAAGUCGAACGGUAACAGAAAGAAGCUUGCUUCUUUGCUGACGAGUGGCGGACGGGUGAGUAAUGUCUGGGAAACUGCCUGAUGGAGGGGGAUAACUACUGGAAACGGUAGCUAAUACCGCAUAACGUCGCAAGACCAAAGAGGGGGACCUUCGGGCCUCUUGCCAUCGGAUGUGCCCAGAUGGGAUUAGCUUGUUGGUGGGGUAA
rnacentral:rRNA from 1 species